GAAAAGAAGCAAAGAGAAGAAAGACGCAAGAGUGUGAGGAUGAUAGAGAGAAACAAAGAAAGAAACAAAGAAAAGAAAGAAAAAAAUGUAGGAAGAAAGGAAACAGAGAGAAACGGGGAUGACCUCUGAUUUAGGAAAGAAAUUCUCGGCUUAUUCAUCUUGACUUUGAACUACAAUGGUGAUGACUGUGACGACGAAGAUGACCCAUUUGAACAGCAACAACAGCAUAAUCGGACAACGAAAAAGAAAACGGACACAAGUUGCCAUCGAGGUUGCCAUCGGUGUUGCCACAUUCCAAGUUUCUCAUAAUAUUUUUUUCAUUGUUUUCUUCCAUUUCACGUUGUAAGGGAAGACUGAUAUAGAUGAUAGAUAGGAUAGAAACAAUAUAAAGAUAAUGUAAAAGAGAUGGAGGGAGGAUAGAUGACGUGAAUGGUAUAUCGAAAUUAAGAAAGGAGAGGAGGAGAAAUGGAGAGAGAGAGAGAGAGAGAGAGAGAGAGAGAGAGAGAGAGAGAGAGAGAGAGAGAGAGAGAGA
rnacentral:lncRNA from 1 species